rnacentral:rRNA from 1 species
UACGAAGGGGGCUAGCGUUGUUCGGAAUUACUGGCGUAAGCGCACGUAGGCGGAAUGUUAAGUCAGGGGUGAAAUCCCGGGCUCAACCCCGGAACUGCCUUUGAUACUGGCAUUCUCGAGUCCGGAAGAGGUGAGUGGAAUUCCGAGUGUAGAGGUGAAAUUCGUAGAUAUUCGGAGGAACACCAGUGGCGAAGGCGGCUCACUGGUCCGGUACUGACGCUGAGGUGCGAAAGCGUGGGGAGCAACAGG